rnacentral:lncRNA from 1 species
GGAAGACUGAGUGUUAAGAGAGAAUUUGCAUUAUCUGCUUUGUACUCUUUCACUAAAAGCUGCUGGAAAUGGUUUUCCACUAAAAUAAGGGACCUGGCCACAGAAAAGAAAAGACAUGGUAUACAGGUAACAAGAGAGCCAACAAAAGAAAAGAGGCAAAGGAAAUCCCCCAGAAUAAUGGUAAAGGAUACCCCAGGAUGACAUCUAACACAUGGGUAUAGAGAGCAUCCUAGGAGCCCCACUGAGAAACUUCUCUGGAGAAAAGAGAAAAUUGAUGGGAUAUCUGAAGGAACGAAACAUCCCAAGGGGUUUUCCAAGGUUGGUGACAAUGAAGGUUGGUUUCCAAUUGCCUCAGAGACAACGUGAUUCUGGGUCAGCACUGCUCUUCCCAGGCCAACUCUACAGUGUGCUUCUGGAAGACGUUCCUAAAAAUUCAGCCUUUGAUACUGUCCAUUGGAUCCAUGAACUCUCUGAUACCCCUUAAUAAAUUCCUUUCUGGUUAAAUUAGCUCAAAUGUAAGCCUCUGCUAAAGUUUAUACUAUAUCUACCCUAUGAUCCAGCAACUUUACUUUUAAGUAUGUACACAAUAGGUAUGAAUAUAUAUACAUAUACACAUUCAUACAUACACAUAUAUACACACAUAUAUACAUAUAUAUCAAAAGACCUGUAAAAAU